rnacentral:rRNA from 1 species
ACGCUCGACACCUACGGGAGCAGCAGUGGGGAAUAUUGCACAAUGGGGGAAACCCUGAUGCAGCAACGCCGCGUGAAGGAAGACGGUUUUCGGAUUGUAAACUUCUGUUCUUAGUGAAGAUAGUGACGGUAGCUAAGGAGCAAGCCACGGCUAACUACGUGCAGCAGCCGCGGUAAUCUGAGCGGGCUGGCAAGGC